UUUGGUGUUUGAUGAGGAGGAAGAUGAAAUUGUUUUUAAAUUAUUGAGCAGUGGUUGUAAAGUGCAUCUUACUGGUUACCAUGAUGGAAAUGGUAAUGGUGGAUAUCAAGAGUUAUGAAGAAGCAUCUGAAGCAAACAAGGAAAGAGAUGAUCCCAAAAUAAGGAGGAGAAGGAAGUCGAGGCCAAGAAAUACGAUGACGAAAAGUGAAAAGCGCAGCCGAGAUUGAGGAGCUUGAAUAAAAAGGUCGAUC